GACGAACGCUGGCGGCGUGCUUAACACAUGCAAGUCGAACGGAAAGGCCCUGCUUUUGUGGGGUGCUCGAGUGGCGAACGGGUGAGUAACACGUGAGUAACCUGCCCUUGACUUUGGGAUAACUUCAGGAAACUGGGGCUAAUACCGGAUAGGAGCUCCUGCUGCAUGGUGGGGGUUGGAAAGUUUCGGCGGUUGGGGAUGGACUCGCGGCUUAUCAGCUUGUUGGUGGGGUAGUGGCUUACGAAGGCUUUGACGGGUAGCCGGCAUGAGAGGGUGACCGGCGACAUGGGGACUGAGAUACGGCCCAGACUCCUACGGGAGGCAGCAGUGGGGAGUAUUGCGGAGUAGGCGGAAGCCUGAUGCGGCAGCGCCGCGUGCGGAAUGACGGCCUUCGGGUUGUAAACCGCUUUCGCCUGUGACGAGGCGUGAGUGACGGUAAUGGGUAAAGAAGCACCGGCUAACUACGUG
rnacentral:rRNA from 1 species